rnacentral:rRNA from 1 species
UACAGAGGGGGCGAGCGUUGUUCGGAAUUACUGGGCGUAAAGGGCGCGUAGGCGGCCCGCUAAGUCGAACGUGAAAUCCCCAGGCUCAACCUGGGAACUGCGUCCGAUACUGGCAGGCUUGAAUCCGGGAGAGGGAUGCAGAAUUCCAGGUGUAGCGGUGAAAUGCGUAGAUAUCUGGAGGAAUACCGGUGGCGAAGGCGGCAUCCUGGACCGACAUUGACGCUGAGGAGCGAAAGCUAGGGGAGCAAACGGG